rnacentral:siRNA from 1 species
AGGCAGUCAAGUGGAGCCGUCUC